UAAUAUUUUGAUCUCAUGGUCGACCGUCAUUAGCUCUCCACCUCUCGGUAAUCAAUUAUCUUCGCAAUUGCAAUCGACGUUUUCCCCCUUGAAACUCUCAGACUUCAACCAUUUCUACUCCUUUACCACUCCAUCUUGAGCAGUUACAAAUUCGUUCAAGUAUAAUUGAAAACUUUUCAAUCACAAAUCAUGGUCUUGCAUUCAAUCGGAAGGUCGAUUCCAAAACCCUUGAAAACCAGAUUCGCUGUCUUUUACAUGUAUGCAACGAUAAUUUCAGCUGCAAAGAUGAAAUAGAGUUUGUGAAAUUCUUGGCGGCGUUGGAAAAUUAAAAAGGGGCUUCAAACUGAAGAUUGCGCUCUGGAAUCAGGUGGGAAAUGACAGAUAUCAGGAUGACUCCGACCUACUACCGGUGUUGAUAGCCGUUUUCACCUCUUUUGUCAAUUAUUAUCAAGGCCGUGUUAGUCAAAAAGUGUGUUGGAGUGUUAGUUCAACAUGCCCUCCAUGAUCGCUACGGAACAAAGGCAGGUACCUCUUCCCUUUAGAAGUCCAAGACUCCGUCGGCCCAUUGUUUUGUAGCUUUGAACAGUGAGAUCCAGAAACUGUAAUGACACGCUGCAUCUGAGCUCCUGAGUGUCUGAGAGGUACUUUAACUUACCUUAUCCACAUUAAUCUGCAUGUGUAUUUAUGAGCCUGUCAUGUGUGUCAUCUGUCAUCACAGUUGAAAAUCUCAGGUAUACACACUUCGUCCUUACUCUCAGGUUUAGGGGCUCAACAUUGAAAAUUGCUCUUGAGGUUCUGCUGCUAAUGGAGUUGGUAUUAAGCCAAUUGAUUGUGACUCCACCCCAUGUCCUGUAUUGGUUGUUUGCUCCAUUUUUCUGAAAAUUUACCAAGCUAUUUCUGUCAACAUCAACUUUAAAUGUUCAAUAUUACCAAAAAGUAUGACAGUCUGAUCAUUUGACAAAAUAUUACAUUGCAAAGCAUUAUUUGCUCUAAUCUUGAGCAAGCCGUUUCCGGCCACAUUUAUUGUAUAUUGAAAACAAACUCCCAGAAGCUAGCUAAUUCAAAAUAGAAAUUGAUGCAUUGAUCUCCCUCUGCCAGACAGUGUUUGUUUGCAUGGGAUUAUUUUGAAACUCCUAGACAUGAUGAUGUUUAUGUAAACUAUUUUCCGUCGAAGUCUUCCUAUCCCAGCUCAGUCAUUUGCAGAAAUCAUCUAUUUUUAUUUGUUGCAUAUGUUUUUUUAUCCUACAUACACUACCAAAAAUGUGAAGGUUAUAUACUUCUGCAUUGUUUGUUGUUAUUUGAAUCACAGAAACUGGCAAGUUGCACUUUAGUGGAGGUUGAUGCUUAUCUAAAUGUCAACAAAAAUUUUGUAUUAUGCUUGAAAUCUUUGAAUAAAUUUGAGGACUCUUUUUAGCAUUGUUGGCAUUCUUCGCAUACCUAAUACUAAAGUUCAUGCUUAUUCGUAUGUUGACAGAGUUUUAGACUGAUUGUAUGUGAAGCCUUGAACUAAUUUUGAGGAUUACACUUGGAUCUAUUGACUUUUAAAUAUGGCAUCCCUCUUAACUAACUGAAAUGCAUCUUCCCUAUAGGGAUGAGCUGUUGAGUAGUCGUAAUUUGGUUGAAUACCCUCUAGGUCAUCAAGUUGUUUAUCUUUUAAUUUACCAAACUGAUUUCAGGUGCUUUUGUCAUAAUAGCUUAUUUCUCUAUUUACAUUCUUUAUUUAGAUUUACUUCACUUUGUUUGAACGUAUUGCUUUUCAAACGUUCAAACAGAAUAUAAAUAGAGUGGAUCAUUUGGCUUUCAAUCUGUUUGAACGUAUUGCUUUCUAUUGAUCCCAAAGACUGUGCAUCAACUGAAAAAGCAAUAUAAACGUAUUGCUUCACAGUUAGGUUUUUGAGAAUGCGGGGUUGUAAAUAAAGUGGAUCAUUUGGCUUUCAAUCUGUUUGAACGUAUUGCUUUCUAUUGAUCCCAAAGACUGUGCAUCAACUGAAAAAGUUGGGUUUUAAUACUGAAAUCUUCUAGAUUGUGCAGGGUUUUGAUUUGACUGUUGAAUUGAAUUUUUUUUCAAGGAGAUUGAUGUAUGAUAGUUGGGUAACAGGUGAUGUAUGUUUAUCAAAGACUUCUCUGGCAUGGCUCAGCUUUAAUCAGCAUCACUUGGAUUUGUGGAACACCACCGUCACUGCUUUGGAUGUAUAUUCUGUGUGCAUUAUUCCCUACAAAUUCUGUUUAACAGAGUUUGAAGAAAUCAAAUCGAAGGUGGUUUCUUAAAAACCAUCAGGAACGUCCGAUUUUGGUGCAAUAGGUGCAAAUCUAAAGCUAAUAUGUACUCAAUAUAUAAUCAUUUCAACAAUUCGACACCAAAAUCAACAAUUCAUUCAGGUGCAGAUAAUUUAACCUCUCUGCCAAAAAUGCGCCUCGAGUUUACACAAACAACGACAUCCCCGCCCGUCAUUGAAAUGUGAGAUAGUCAAUAUUGGAAAAGGAUCACAAGGCAAAUAAAUAGCGCUGAGAAGGAAUUUAUGGCAGUGAUCUAAAUGUGUACAUGCAUUGCCUACUUCAGGAAGGAGCACAGAAUCUGAGAAAUUGGUUGCAGAGACGCAAGGAUGGAUGUUGGCAUUGUCCGUUUAUCGCCGAUGAACGACUGAAUGUACAAAUUUGGAGAUUCUCUAACAUUGUACCACUGAUUAAUGAAGCAUUGGAACGACAUCAGCCGCUAAGGAUUCGAUGUCUACAGAUAGGGGUGUGAACUCCCUUAGGAGGCAGAUAGAAGAGCAACUGGAAUACAUUUUCCAUUUGUAUGUGAGUUUUUUCACAUAAGACUGGAGAAUGGAAGAAUGAAAUUGCGACGAUUGUGGAAUGGAGCUGUUGCAUAACAUUCCGAUAGCGGAAUGGCAUCACGAAAAUGUUGGAACGUCUGAUUCAGCCUAGGAACAAUAGUAGAACUGACUCAAUUGAGGGUUUGGUACAUAUUUUUUUGAUCAAAAUUGUAAAAUUAGUGACUUUAUUUAGAAAAAAUAUUGAUUGAAUGAUUUUUGAAUGGAAAUGUUAGUAUUGUCUAAGGGCUUCAUAGAGAGAGUUUGGUUGGUUCAUUUUCUAGUAAUGGAAAAAUCUCAAAACUUUAACCUCUAG